rnacentral:rRNA from 1 species
GAUGAACGCUGGCGGCGUGCCUAAUACAUGCAAGUCGAGCGAAUGGAUUAAGAGCUUGCUCUUAUGAAGUUAGCGGCGGACGGGUGAGUAACACGUGGGUAACCUGCCCAUAAGACUGGGAUAACUCCGGGAAACCGGGGCUAAUACCGGAUAACAUUUUGAACCGCAUGGUUCGAAAUUGAAAGGCGUCUUCGGCUGUCACUUAUGGAUGGACCCGCGUCGCAUUAGCUAGUUGGUGAGGUAACGGCUCACCAAGGCAACGAUGCGUAGCCGACCUGGGAGGGUGAUCGGCCACAAUGGGACUGAGACCAGGCCCAGACUCCUACGGGAGGCAGCAGUAGGGAAUCUUCCGCCAUGGACGAAAGUCUGGCGGAGCAACGCCGCGUGAGUGAUGAAGGCUUUCGGGUCGUAAAACUCUGUUGUUAGGGAAGAACAAGUGCUAGUUGAAUAAGCUGGCACCUUGACGGUACCUAACCAGAAAGCCACGGCUAACUACGUGCCAGCCGCCGCGGUAA